UUAGUUUAAUGGAUAUUAUUGAGAAAUAUAAAAACAUUGUGGAGAAUAAAAAGACUGAUUGCAUUUCUUCCAAUCAGAAAAAAAAGGCCUGGGUACAAAUAGCAAAUGAAUUUAAUGCUAUUUGCCCAGAUAGUUCAUUUCGGGAUUGUAAUACUCUAAAAAAAUUUUAUGAAAAUAAAAAGAAGGAGGUUCGCAAAUAUGUACUCCAUGAAAAAAAACACAUAAAUGCUACUGGAGGAGGUCCAGCAUUUAAUAUGAAAAAAGACAUUUGUUUUGACUAUAUUUUAAAUAUGGUCAACCAUAAAACUGUUGCCGGGUUAGAAAAUAAAUUUUCUAAUCUAACAGACCCUCCAUUUGGAGACAAUUCUUCUCAGGCUGAUAAUCCCGAGGAAAAUCCAUUUGCUGAUAAUGCAACUGGAGAUUAUCCUCCCAUUACAUUGGAAGAAUUAGAAGCUGAUGUGAGUAUUAAAAAUGCACUUUUAUGGCCCAUCUAUUGUUAAAGAGACUUCAUUAUUUUACAGUAUCAAUUGCAAGAUGUUCAAUUACUGGAAACUGAACAAUCAGAAGUCAGCAAUAAUCUAUAUUCCAGUACUUGGACAAAUAUGACCCCAAAUAAGUUGAAAGCCUGUCCUACCUCAGUUCUGAAGAAAAAGUGCGCUACAAAUGAAAAGGAAAUAUUCAACCUCAAUCGCAAGACCCCUGCUAGAAGAUCAGCGGCAUCAACGGUGAGAGCAUUAGCCACAUCUGAUAUUGCUAGCAAAUACGACAAACUGCUAGAAAAACGAUUGAAAAUUGCAGAGAUGCAGAAUAUUAGGGUUCAUGCGGCUUUAUACCUAGACGAUGUGCUACUGUACAGGUCAAGGAUUAACGAAGCCCUGGAUGCUUUGAUUAACAUUAAACUUAAAGAACUGCGAAUUUCUGAAGACGUCUGUCACGUACCUCGGGUACGAAGUGGAGCAAGGAAAGAUUAGGCCAGAAACCGAGAAAAUUAUAGCAGUCAAUCAGUUUCCUGCCCCGAAGAACGUUCAUCAGAUACGACAGUUUAGGUUUAACAGGAUAUUUUCGCCAUUUUGUUCGGGAUUACGCAAUUGGGAGACAUCUCCCACCAAUCAAAAAUACCACUCUUUCGAACUAGAGACAUUGGCUGUAGUUGAAAGCUUACGAAAAUUCAGACCUUACUUGCUAGGUAUGAAUUUUACCGUGGUUACUGACUGCUAUUCGCUGAAAGCGGCCAGUAAAAAGGAAUUACUACCGCGAAUUGCUAGAUAGUGUCGGGAAUUACAGGAAUUUACCUUCGGUGGUCAAUACCGCCCUGGACAACGAAUGGGUCAUGUUGGUGCAUUGAGCCGGAAUCCUACAGAGAUAACGAGCGACGAGUGUGACGUAAUCUUGCACAUUGAAGCAGCAGAUUUGGUCCUUGCAGGACAACUCACUGAGCUAAAUACCGAUCAUCCUAUUCAAGGACUUUUUUCUAACGCCGAACGAGAACUUUCUAAAAUUCCUAGAAAUCAAUUAUUGAGCUUAAUACAAGCUCCUCCCCACGCGAAGAAUCAAAUUUGACUCAAACUCCACCCAACUUGCGAGUGGGAAUUUGGCAAUAAAUAAGGAAAAAAUGACGAGCGGUACUAUUAGUUCAAAUUCACGUUGAGUUCAACAACAACAAUCAGUGUGAUUUCGUGUUAGUGUGAAAAUCAAUCAUCAGGUGAGUUUUCUCACAGAGUAGCCUUUUCAAUAUUUCUUAUUGGUUUAACAUUUAAGCCAAUGUUAAAAAGACUGAGUGUUUCUUCACAGGGUAACCUUUUCGACUUUAUUUGAUAAUUCACUUUCUAUAAAUUUCACUUUACGGCUCUUUUGUAAGUCUUUAUAUUUGUUUACCGUUCUUUAAUAUUAACCUGGUUUUCUUUAGUCUAUUUAAAGUUCAAUACUGUUAAAGCUUCAUUUAAAAGCAUAAACGUUCAUAGAGACGUUCCUAGUACUGGCUGAAGACGUACAACAGUACGUGAGUAAGACUGUUAUUCGGUUAUUGAGUCAUUUGAGUAAUGAUGUUAAGGACGGGACUGUAGAUGACCCGCUGUACCUAGUAGCCAAUUGACAUACUGUUUAUCAUGAUAAAUGCCGGUGACUAGUAAGGCGUUUCCUGAGCAGGUAUUUCGCGCGCAGUUCCCUUAAUACCUAUUAACAACCCUAGUUUAGCCGUGUCAGGAUGCAACUUCGGUUGUAGUUUUGCGGGAUUCAGAGAUAGAUUGAUAAUACUGCGAUCGAGUAAAGUUACUACUGUAAAUUAAGUUAUAUACUUAAUCUAAAACUAAAACCGUUGCACGUCAUCAACCGACAAACUGACCCUGUUGACAAGUUGUCAUGAAAAUCUUUUGUGAGAGUGAAAUAUUCAGCAUAUAUUCUGACAAACUAACCAAACCAAACACUAUUCGAUAAAUCAAACGUCAACCUGACAACACAGUUAUUACUGUGUUGUCAGAUUGACGUUAGUUUUAUCGAUUAGUUUUUAAGUCUUUUAAAGUCUUCAAAAGUGAUCUAAACCUGUUUUUUUUUUUAAACAAACAUCGUGUCUGAGAUGAAAAUGCCAAAGCAACUGAAUAGCCGUUGCAAGGAGCUUGUAGUUUCAUUAAUCCGCUAUUUUGAGGAGAAACGCAAAAAUAAUACGGUCCUGUUGCCCUUAGGUGUCGUUAGAGAAGUGUGUUUUAAUCAAUUAUUUCAUACCUUAACUAUACAGUUGAAUUUUUUUUAGCGUGUUGCUGCAGCUCUGAAUGAGCACAAUAUCAACAGCAGUUUCCAAUAAUGCGGUCUUAAAAUCAUUUGCAAAAAAGCGUUGUUUUACCAAGCGAGUAACUAAUAGUUAAACUUGAUGUUGGGGUUAUUCGUAACGUCAUAUUCGACAUGUAUAAAGCAAGUAAGUGGCCUUUGGUAAGAAUUAAAUAAUUCUCACCACUAGAAUUACUUUAAGAAAAUGUUACGAAAAGGUUGUACUGACUUGUUUACAAAUAUUUUUUCUAGGGGAGCAUGUGACAUGACGAAUUUACUGACGAAGCUAAAAGAAAAAGAAUUGUUUAAUGGGUGCCGGCAAUCUUUAAGUACCUUAUUAAAAGAAAUAGGCUUUAAGUGGAAGAAAGAUGAUCCAAGACGUGGACUGAUGGAAGUCCAUAACGUUGCUUUUAAAAUGGUACAAUCUUACAGGGAAGAAAGAGCCGAAGGUCUUUAUCAGUUUGCGUUUACUGAUGAGACGUGGAUAUUUCAAAACGGCACCAUUGGUCGUUCUUGGCAAAAUGGUAUAUCAUACUUUAUGCUGGCCACUAAGGCGGCUUUACUGAUGGUACAAAAGCCAUAUUUUCGUCAAAAACCCAACUAAGCGAUUACCAUGAGGAAAUGAAUCAUGAAAACUUUCUCCUGUGGUUCGAAAAUCGGCGGCUAAAAAAAUUGGCUAAGCCUUCGAUAAUCAUUCUAGAUACUGCUCCGUAUCAUAGUAAGAUGCUAGAUAAAAUUCCAAAUACCAGGUGGAACAACAAGCCAUACAAGAAUGGUAGACAAAUAAAAACAUACCAUUUACCAAUGUGAUGUUAAAAACUGAAUUGAUAGGUAUUGUUGCUCGGUACGUAUAAAAAUAUAGAUUUUUCGCAAUAACUAUUGAAUAGUUUUAAAGAAGUUUACUGAAUUACUUGUUUUAGAAAUAAGCCACCUUAAAAAUAUCUUAUUGACAACUUGGCUGAACAGUCCCAGAUAACACAAAACAACCUAGGAAUAUUCGCAGAAAGUCCCCAAUUGAAUAUAUAUAUAUCUAGAUAUUCUAGAGAUAUUCCGGGGAUAUUCAGAAUAUUAUUCUUCAAAUUUGUAUAUUCCAAGAAUAUGUUUUUCAGGUUGUAGUAUGAAUAUUCCAGUAAGCAUCUGCCAAGAAUAUCCCAGAAUAUUCAUAUGGGCAUAUUUAAUUUUGUCGGACCGAAACGAAAUAACCGCAGCGCAGAUCUGACUAUUCUGACUCACUUAGCAUCCCUUCGGUCGUGACCAUAUGGUGACCAUAAUGCGCCACAUUGAGUCACUUGAAUAUCAGCUUGUGCAUGUGUGCAUAUCAGCAGAAGUGCUUCGAAUUGAUUUGUUCAAUUUAUACCUACAAUUCUCUCUACAAAUUAUCUCAAGUGUUUGCAGUAGUUUUCAUAGCGUCCUGUAAGUGGUAGAAAUAGUAGUUGUAAUAUUUUGUAGAGGUAGUAUUAAUAUAAUGCCUAAAACUAAGAGAACAUUAAAAAGAAGUAGCACGUGGUGCAAAGUGUGGAAGAGUGUUGUGCCUUUUAGAGCACUUUCUACAAGGCUGAGAACGACACUGCUCGGUGGCAUGAUUGUUUCUCAGGCAAUUUAAACACCACUUAUCCUUUUUUGCAACGCUAUUUCUCUCCUUCAAACUCAAAGAGAGAAACUCCUGACAGUUGUAAA
rnacentral:misc_RNA from 1 species